GGUUUUGUUGGCUUCGUCGAGAGGUCUGCUCCCCUAAAAUGCAUUAGCCGGUGCCCCGCGUGGACCGUCUAUUGGUGUGAUAAUUAUCUACGCCGUGGACGUCUGCUUUAAAUGGGUUGUGCUGCUUCUAACCGUCCAUUUACUUGGACAACAAAUGACAAUUUGACCUCAAAUCAGGUAGGACUACCCGCUGAACUUAA
rnacentral:misc_RNA from 1 species